rnacentral:rRNA from 1 species
AGUGAACGCUGGCGGUAGGCCUAACACAUGCAAGUCGAACGGCAGCACAGUAAGAGCUUGCUCUUACGGGUGGCGAGUGGCGGACGGGUGAGGAAUACAUCGGAAUCUACUUUUUCGUGGGGGAUAACGUAGGGAAACUUACGCUAAUACCGCAUACGACCUACGGGUGAAAGCAGGGGAUCUUCGGACCUUGCGCGAUUGAAUGAGCCGAUGUCGGAUUAGCUAGUUGGCGGGGUAAAGGCCCACCAAGGCGACGAUCCGUAGCUGGUCUGAGAGGAUGAUCAGCCACACUGGGACUGAGACACGGUCCAGACUCCUACGGGAGGCAGCAGUGGGGAAUAUGGGACAAUGGGCGCAAGCCUGAUCCAGCCAUACCGCGUGGGUGAAGAAGGCCUUCGGGUUGUAAAGCCCUUUUGUUGGGAAAGAAAAGCAGCAGGUUAAUACCCCGCUGUUCUGACGGUACCCAAAGAAUAAGCACCGGCUAACUUCGU